ACAAACACCAGGCAUAAGCUGCUAUGCAGCUUGUGGUCCCAGGGUCCUCUCCACACACUGACGAUGUAUGGCCUGCCUCUUGAUAGCCUGAGUACAGAUCCUCUCGCCAUCAGACAGGAGAAAGAGUACAGGGACUCAGACCAUCUGCUCCAUCCUGGCACUGAGCACAGAUGUGGCACCCUGUGACCGCUCUGAGGAGAAUAGAAAUGCCUGUCUGUGAGCUCUCCAUGAAAGCCUGUGCCAGCGUGGCUCCUAGCACAGUAUGGCAGCACUCUUGGGCAGUGCCAAGGAGGCAGUUCAGCCGCUCUGGAAGAUUAGUGGAGUUACAUCUGCUUCACUAAAAUAAAACUACUGGGACCAAGAGGGGCCGUAGCUGAGCACCUCAUGCCAGCUGCCAACUGAUUGUAGCUGCCACCCCGUGAGCAAGGCUGAUGCUAACUCCAACCCCAAUGACCAACCAGGUGUAAUUCAGUCUGUCAGCCCAACUUGCAUAGGCCUAGAGGGCAGAGGGAUUGGCACUUAGUGUCUUCAUUGCAGGUGGCACACUGUGCUCUGUUCAGGGAGCUGAAGAUAGUGGAUGACUGCAGAAGCUCAAAGACACACUAUCAUUGUUACAGAGACUCAAAGCCUAAGCAAUCAAGACAGACUGCCCAGAUCCUGCUCCUCCCAAAUGGAGAAGUACCUGUCAGUUAAAGGAGAAAUAUUCAUGACUGUGCUGGGUUCUGAACCAAUGAGCUUCAGAGGAGGGUAACAGUGCUGGUAAGGAUGUGGUGGCCAAGGCAGUGACCAGAUCCCUCUGCCAUGUCCUUGGGACCUUGCACAUAACCUCUGCUCAAGGAGGCUCCCAAGGGCACUGCAAGAAGGCCUGGAGUCAAGGUGCUGUUCAAUGUAAAGGUUUGACUAUCCCAUUGCUACCUUUCUAGCAAGUGGGACAAUUUUUUAAACUGGAAAGACAACAGUUUGAGAUGUUAAGGAACACAUGCCUGGUUGAAGCGUGCUCCUGCCAAGACCUUCGGUUCUCUACCUUGGAGAGUACCAGCCGGCUCCUUCCAGGUACUACCCCACAUUGACUUCCAAAUGUGGGAGAGAGACAUCCCACUUCUCUUCACCAGAAACAAGCAUGAAAGCCCCACAGCACUGCAUCUGGGAGUCUGCCAGGCCUGUCUGUAAUUGUGCUGGUCAGCCAGGUGCAGGUGGCAGAGAAAAUCCAAUUGCCCCAUCAGCUGUUUGGUUUUUUUUUUUUUUUUGGUUUUCUUUAUUGGUGGUGGUGGGUUUUUGUUUUGUUGUUUUGUUUUGUUUUGUUUUGUUUUGUUUUUUUGAGACAGGGUUUCUCUUGGUAGCUCUGCUAUUCUGGAACUCACUCUGUAGAUCAGGCUAGCCUUAAACUCACAGAGAUCUACCUGCCUCUGCCUCUGCCUCUGCCUCUGCCUCUGCCUCUGCCUCUGACUCUCAAGUGCUGGGAUUCAAGAUAUGCACCAUCACUACCAGGCACCCCGGGGCUGUUAUAAAAGGAGCUGGCACUGUGGGCAUCGCCAGAAGGUUCUACUGGAGUGGGGUCAUCUCUUGGCAUUCUUCCCUGGCCCUGAAGCAGGAUUAAGAGAAAGGAUGAAUCUCUCCCCUCUCCUAGGCCUGGACCACACCUAAUUCCAGGUCACCAGAUACCCUGCUCUAAAAUCAGGGUACCACUAGUAGCUGUCCCCAAAGCCCAAGUGUUUCUACUUCCUACUUUAGUCAAACAGAAAAACGAAAGCAGCUGCCUAAUGUUUGCUGUGCUGCAGGGAUCUGGUCAGCAAGCUCUAUUAUCUUAUGACCUCCAUUAUUGUCUCUACUUGAAAGGAAAGGAAACUGAGGUUCAGAGAGGUCAAACAGGUUGUCCAAGACCAUCCGGAAGUUGAUUGGAUGGGCUGAAGUCAAAGCAUUUGAAUCCAGGGCUCAAACUCUUGUUCUCUAGCAUGUCAAAGAGCAUGAAAUAACACUGUCAGGGGGACUUUCCAUUCAGCCUUCAUCAAGUGGUACAGGGCACGGGGACCAGUAUGGAAAGUGGCUGUAAGGACACCCAGAGCCAAGGUCCCAGGAAUGAGGCAAAGGACAGAGCAAGCAAGGCAUGCAGGAGGCAGAGGCCCUGAGGGACAGACCAAACUCAGGUCCAAGUAGUUGAGGAAAGAGUUAAAAACAACUGAGGCAGGAGUGGGGUGUCGAGCAACUCCUCCUUAUCAGCUCUGGGAUUUAGAACUGUUUGUAGAAAAGACAAGGAAGCCAAAGGGGCAUUUUCUCUGCCCAUCCCUCCUAUCCGAAGACUUUCUGUAGGAUGUAUAACUCCAAUUAAACCUGAGGCAGGAGAAUCAUCUAUGUAGACUCCAGUGCCCCCUCU
ensembl:antisense Gm4279 predicted gene 4279